CCAAACUGUUGCCUCGGCGGGAUCUCUGCCCCGGGUGCGUCGCAGCCCCGGACCAAGGCGCCCGCCGGAGGACCAACCAAAACUCUUUUUGUAUACCCCCUCGCGGGUUUUUUUAUAAUCUGAGCCUUCUCGGCGCCUCUCGUAGGCGUUUCGAAAAUGAAUCAAAACUUUCAACAACGGAUCUCUUGGUUCUGGCAUCGAUGAAGAACGCAGCGAAAUGCGAUAAGUAAUGUGAAUUGCAGAAUUCAGUGAAUCAUCGAAUCUUUGAACGCACAUUGCGCCCGCCAGUAUUCUGGCGGGCAUGCCUGUCCGAGCGUCAUUUCAACCCUCGAACCCCUCCGGGGGGUCGGCGUUGGGGAUCGGCCCUGCCUUUGGCGGUGGCCGUCUCCGAAAUACAGUGGCGGUCUCGCCGCAGCCUCUCCUGCGCAGUAGUUUGCACACUCGCAUCGGGAGCGCGGCGCGUCCACAGCCGUUAAACACCCAACUUCUGAAAUGUUGACCUCGGAUCAGGUAGGAAUACCCGCUGAACUUAAGCAUAUCAAUAAGCGGAGGAA
rnacentral:rRNA from 1 species